rnacentral:rRNA from 1 species
AGGCUACGAAUGAUUCGAGCUCGGCUCGACUCUCCCACCCAAUGUGUACCUACCUCUGUUGCUUUGGCGGGCCGCGGUCCUCCGCACCGGCGCCCUUCGGGGGGCUGGCCAGCGCCCGCCAGAGGACCAUAAAACUCCAGUCAGUGAACUUCGCAGUCUGAAAAACAAGUUAAUAAACUAAAACUUUCAACAACGGAUCUCUUGGUUCUGGCAUCGAUGAAGAACGCAGCGAAAUGCGAUAAGUAAUGUGAAUUGCAGAAUUCAGUGAAUCAUCGAAUCUUUGAACGCACAUUGCGCCCCUUGGUAUUCCGAGGGGCAUGCCUGUUCGAGCGUCAUUUCAACCCUCAAGCUCUGCUUGGUAUUGGGCUCCGUCCUCCACGGACGCGCCUUAAAGACCUCGGCGGUGGCGUCUUGCCUCAAGCGUAGUAGAAAACACCUCGCUUUGGAGCGCACGGCGUCGCCCGCCGGACGAACCUUUGAAUUAUUUCUCAAGGUUGACCUCGGAUCAGGUAGGGAUACCCGCUGAACUUAAGCAUAUAGUCCCCCGGAAGGAAGA